UACAGAGGUCUCAAGCGUUGUUCGGAUUCAUUGGGCGUAAAGGGUGCGUAGGCGGCGCGGUAAGUCGGGUGUGAAAUCGUCGGGCUUAACUCCGAAACUGCAUUCGAUACUGCCGUGCUUGAGGACUGGAGAGGAGACUGGAAUUUACGGUGUAGCGGUGAAAUGCGUAGAUAUCGUAAGGAAGACCAGUGGCGAAGGCGGGUCUCUGGACAGUUCCUGACGCUGAG
rnacentral:rRNA from 1 species